GUCCGGGGGGGGCGUGGCCAGGGCGCCGCGCUGCCUGUCAGUCAGCGCUCAGGGACAGUUUGACCCUCGCUGCUCUGCAGAAAGCUGCUGUAAGCCGAACCGGACCGGAGUCCAACAGUUUCCACUGAGCCGCCGCUGUCGGAACGGGAACCGACCCGAACCGGUGGACUGAGCCAUGCGGUUCUGACCCGAUCCGGACCGGUGGAUGAGUCCAGAGCUGCAGCUGAGUGUCGCCGUGCCGCAGGAUGAACGGAUUCGAUCCUCCAGCUCUGAACGUCUUCAGCUCCAACAUCAACGGACUCGGCGCUCCGUCUCCAGAACCUCCCAGGAAUAAAGCCAAGAGUGGUGCCAAAGCUCUGUAUGAACAAAGGAAGAACUUCUCCAGAAGCAGCAUCAACAGCCUGACCGACACGUCGCAGUACCAGGUGGAGCACCUCACCACGUUCGUUUUGGACCGGAAAGAUGGGAUGAUCACGGUGGACGACGGCGUGCGGCGGCUGCGCCUGCUGGACGCCAAGGGGAAGGUGUGGACGCAGGAAAUGUUGCUGCAGGUGGAGGACAAGGCGGUCAGCCUCAUCGACCUGGACUCUCAGAGCGAGUUGGAGAACUUCCCCAUCGGCUCCGUCCAGCACUGCCAGGCGGUGAUGAACGCCUGCAGCUACGACUCCAUCCUGGCGCUGGUGUGCAAAGACUCGGGUCAGAGCAAGGCGGACCUGCACCUGUUCCAGUGCGACGACAUCAAGGCGAAUCUGAUUCACCUGGACGUAGAAAGUGCCAUGAUCGAUGCCAAAGGGGGAAAAGUGAAGAAACGACCCGAGACGCUGAAGAUGAUCCUGAAGAGCGACGGCAUGAUCCCGCCUCCACCCACCACCCCCGCCCCCGAGGCACCAGCCUCAUCCAAUCAGGACAACAGGGGGCGGGUCGCCGCCUGGUCGGCAUGGGCCAAUGAACAGCAGCACUGCGAGCAGCAGGACGAUGGUGCGGCGGACAUGGCGGCCCUGCGGGUGGAUCGGGACGUGCAAAUCCUGAACCACAUCCUGGACGACGUGGAGUUCUUUGUGACCAAACUGCAGAAGGCGGCCGAGGCGUUCAGCGAGCUGAGCAGGAGGAAGAAGGGCAAGAAGGGCAAGAAGAAAGGGCCGGGAGAGGGCGUCCUGUCCCUCAGGUCCAAGCCUCCCAGUGAAGAAGAGUUUGUAGACUGUCUGCAGAAGUUCAAACAUGCCUUCAACCAGCUGGCGAAGCUGAAGGACCACAUUCAGAACCCCAGUGCCGUGGAUUUGGUCCAUUUCCUGUUUACGCCACUCAGGAUGGUGGUCCAGGCGUCCGGUGGUACCGAGCUGGCCCGGAGCGUCCUGGUUCCGCUGCUCAGCAGAGACGCCAUCGAGUUCCUCCACGCCGCAGGAACGGACGAGGAGCGCCACCUGUGGGUGACUCUGGGUGACGGCUGGACCAAGUGCAGGCUGGAGUGGCCGAAAGACCACUUCUUCCCCCAGGUGGCGCUGCGGUUCCGGGACGGCUGGGAGCCCCCCGUGGUUCCGGCUGUGGCUCCGAGUCGGGAGCAGGAACUCCUGCAGCUGGCCGAGAGCCUGGUGAAUGCCGACGCCCGCGGCGCGACCGACCUGCGGCCGUGUCUGGAGCAGGGGGCGCUGCAGCGGUUUCCUCUGGCUGACGGGUACGCUCUCCAUAACUCCGCCUACAAAGGCUUCCAGGUCCUGGACCAGAACACGGCCGUGGCUGCUUUCAAACACGCCGUCAGCCGCCGUGUGGACCGGAGUUUGGACCCACAGAUUCGACUGGAUCAGAACCUCUUUGCCAAAUCAAAGUACGACUUUGUGGCGAGGAACAACACAGAGCUGUCGGUUCUGAAAGACGAACUCCUCGAGGUUCUGGAUGACCGGAAGCAGUGGUGGAAGGUCCGGAACGGUGCCGGUGCCGCGGGCUACGUGCCAAACAACAUCCUGGAACUGACCAGAACCUCGGACCUGACCGGCCGUGGAGACCCAGUCUACAGCCACACCAUCCAGCUCAUGAUGCCAAAGAAGGAGUUUGAGUUGUUUAAGCAGCAGUUACUGGGAGAGUUAAACGAGAAACAGACCACAAAGUCGGACCCGCCUCCAGGUAAACCUCAGAUGUCCGAGGUCCCGUCACCGCCCGCCCCCCACCGGCUCCCCACGCCGCCGCUUCCUCCCCCCGCCGCAGAACCUGGCAAACUGAGCGGCGCCGCGCUCAGCCGCAACAACAGCAGCACGUCCAGCGAUGCCGGCGGCACCGCCGCAAGGGAGCCGGGUGCCCAGAGGGCCGCCGCCGCCACAGGACGCAGGAAGUCCAACAUGGAGGAGGUCCAGGACGAGCUGGUCCACCGGCUGACUUUGGGUCGGAGCGCGCAGAAAAAGUUCCAGGUUCCGUCUCGGAGCAACAGCGGCAACCUGCCGGCUCCAGGAAUCACCUACGACUCUCCACCAGAUGAAGUGAAGGCCUGGCUGGAGGCCAAGGGCUUCAGCCCAGUGACCAUCAGCAGCCUGGGCGUUCUGACCGGAGCCCAGCUGUUCUCCCUCAACAAGGAGGAGCUGAAGACGGUUUGUCCCGACGACGGGGGGCGGGUCUUCAGCCAGGUGGCGGUCCAGAAGGCGGCGCUGGAGGUUUUCUUCUGAGCCUCCUCUGAUCUUCUGACCGGCUGCAUUCAGGUACCGUUUCUCUGUGGCGCCUCCACGGCCCGGUUCUGUUGGCCAGAACCGCAGUAAAGUCAAAUGGACCGGACCCAGACGCAGCUUCCUGUAGAAUAAUUUAAACAGACUCUGACCUGAAAACCAGCCGAAACUGAAGUUGCGAAUAUUUUUAACUGAAAUAAAACAUUUAGUUCAUAAAACUAAAACUGAGAUUUCAGAUAAAAUGUUUUGUUCUCAUGAAUCCAUGGAAGUGAAACAAACCGCUGACAUCAUCUGUAAAUCGCGGCGCUCCACUUCCCUCCUGCGGCACAAGUUGGCCCAGAGUCGGACGUUCAACAACUGAACCCAUUUUAUUAUCUCCUGCUGAGGAUCGUAACCCAACUGAUGCAAACAUAAUCACAAUUAAAGCAGCGAAGCGCGCCGAAGGCCGAUUGGGUCCCGCAGCCGUCUGCCAGGCGACACACACCUACACCUUCCGCAGCGCUCCCUGACGAGGCACAAGCCCGGUCGAGCUAUUGGGCUUUUUAGAGGCUAACAAAGGUCAAUCCUAACACGUUUACUGACAAUAGGAUAAUGCAUGUAUGAUUUAGAGCAGUCUGUCUUCCAACAGAAAGAAAGACUGCUCUAAAUGCUCCUUCCAACAGGUGACUUCCUCUUGGAAGGGGGCGGGGCUAAACUGAUGUCACCUAUUGACCAAUUGAAUGUGCUGAGCUCUGCUCUGAUGAAACAGUUUGAUGCUGUUGGGAGCUUCUAUGGGGAAGUUAUUCCAUCUUGAUGUUUCAUGGCGAAUGGCCAGAUUUGAGGCUUGGCCACGCCCACAUGCUCUGACAUAGGAAAAUUCCUUUGAUAACUUUUGACUCUCCAUGCCUCAAGAUUCUGCUGUCUGAGUUUGAAGCCUGGAUCUCAAAAGCUCUAGGACGAGUUCGCUCAGAUACGACAUCAAUGAAAUAGACAAAAUUUUGUUUGUUGUGGCGAGUACGCCAAGUUCGCCACUUCGCCACGCUCCCCGAACAUGUACGAAAAGUCUUUUUUUUUUACUUUUACAGCCCCAUGUCUUUUCUGCAUUCUGACCAAGAAGGAAGCCGAUUGGUCGAAAACUCGAGGAGUUCGUUAAAGUUCGACAAGAGUUCAGGCUCUGAGCUGCAGGAGAUCAUGAGGAGGCGGCAGGAGAAGCUAGCAGCUAGCACCGUCGACUCGGGGG